CACACUCCAAGCGAAGCUUGAUGUUGGACGAUGCGGGCCUUUUGGGGACCGCACGUCUGGAACGCGUGGGCGCCUGCCGCCGGACCACGAGCGUAGCAAGACAACAUGUCAAUUCGUUCUGUGGGUUCUGACGGGGGGCGGCCUCAACCUUUUCUGUAUCAGAAA
rnacentral:misc_RNA from 1 species